rnacentral:rRNA from 1 species
AGCGAACGCUGGCGGCAGGCCUAACACAUGCAAGUCGAACGAACCCUUCGGGGUUAGUGGCGGACGGGUGAGUAACACGUGGGAACGUGCCUUUAGGUUCGGAAUAACUCAGGGAAACUUGUGCUAAUACCGAAUGUGCCCUUCGGGGGAAAGAUUUAUCGCCUUUAGAGCGGCCCGCGUCUGAUUAGCUGGUUGGUGAGGUAAUGGCUCACCAAGGCUACGAUCAGUAGCUGGUCUGAGAGGAUGACCAGCCACAUUGGGACAGAGACACGGCCCAAACUCCUACGGGAGGCAGCAGUGGGGAAUCUUGCGCAAUGGGCGAAAGCCUGACGCAGCCAUGCCGCGUGGAUGAUGAAGGUCUUAGGAUUGUAAAAUCCUUUCACCGGUGAAGAUAAUGACUGUAGCCGGAGAAGAAGCCCCGGCUAACUUCGUGCCAGCCGCCGCGGUAAAAC